AUUGCCCUAGUAACGGCGAGUGAAGCGGGAACAGCUCAAAUUUGAAAUCUGGCCCUCGGGUCCGAGUUGUAAUUUGCAGAGGAUGCUUUUGGCGCGGUGCCUUCCGAGUUCCCUGGAACGGGACGCCUUAGAGGGUGAGAGCCCCGUACGGUUGGCCACCAAGCCUGUGUAAAGCUCCUUCGACGAGUCGAGUAGUUUGGGAAUGCUGCUCAAAACGGGAGGUAUAUUUCUUCUAAAGCUAAAUACUGGCCAGAGACCGAUAGCGCACAAGUAGAGUGAUCGAAAGAUGAAAAGCACUUUGAAAAGAGGGUUAAAUAGCACGUGAAAUUGUUGAAAGGGAAGGGUUUAUGACCAGACUUUUUCUAGGGGGAUCAUCCGGUGUUCUCACCGGUGCACUUCCCCUAGUUGAGGCCAGCAUCGGUUUCUGCCGGGGGAUAAAAGCUUCGGGAAUGUGGCUCCUUCGGGAGUGUUAUAGCCCGUUGUAUAAUACCCUGGCGGGGACCGAGGUUCGCGCAUUCGCAAGGAUGCUGGCGUAAUGGUUAUUAACCACCCGUCUUGAAACACGGACCAAGGAGUCGAACAUUUGUGCGAGUGUUUGGGUGUUAAACCCUCACGCGUAAUGAAAGUGAACGGAGGUGAGAGCCUUUAGGGGUGCAUCAUCGACCGAUCCUGAUGUCUUCGGAUGGAUUUGAGUAGGAGCAUCACUGUUCGGACCCGAAAGAUGGUGAACUAUGCGUGGAUAGGGUGAAGCCAGAGGAAACUCUGGUGGAGGCUCGCAGCGGUUCUGACGUGCAAAUCGAUCGUCAAAUCUGCGCAUGGGGCGAAGACUAAUCGA
rnacentral:rRNA from 1 species